UCAGUAUCUCCAUAGCUCUUUACUGCUAUGGUUGGCCCCAGUCAUUUAGGGAACUCAUCACUCAUGCAGAGCGUCACUCAGCAGUGGUGCUUAGGAGCAUCAGCUUGCAUCGGGGCAGGCUUGGUUCCAAAGCCCAGGCCUCCUCCAUGUGGUUCCACAACAGGAAAAGGGAACAAUCAGACCUCUUCCAGUGUGGUCAUGAGGAUACAAGAAGAUCAUGUCAAUAUUGGCAUUCAUAAUGGCCAGACACUGUGGCGCAUGCCUGUAAUCCCAGCAAUUUGGGAGGCUGAGGUGGGCAGAUGGCGUGAGCCCCAGAAUUUGAAACCAGCCUGGGCAACAUGGCAAAACCAGUCUCUUCUGAAAAUACAAAAAAUUGGCUAGGCUUAGUGGUGCACAUCUGUAGUCUCAGCUACUUGGGAGGCUGAGGUGGGAGGAUUGCUUAAACCCAGGGAGGCUGAGGCUUCAGUGAGCUAUGAUGACACCACUGUACUCCAGCCUGGGUGACAGAGCGAUACCCUAUCUCAAAACAAAAACAAAGGCAAAACAACAUUCAAAAUAGUAGCAAUAGCUACUAUGUGCCAAGCCCAGACACCUCUUUGAGUCCUUGCUGUCACCCUAUCAGGUAAGUGUGCUUCGAAGUUACACGAAGCAGAUGGCUUAGUAUCUGGCCCAUGGUAAGGGCCUAAAAAGUGGUAGCCCCAGUGGUGGGGAUGCUGCUGCUGCUGCUGACCAUUAACCCCCAUCUGCUCCACCUUCUUCCAGGCAGCCUGUGAAACGUUUGAUGUCCGAAGCCAACAGCACAUUCAGAUCCCCAAGCUCUACACCUCCAAUGUGACCUGGGGCUUGCACCACUUCAGGCUCGUGCAGGACUCACAGCCUUUGGACCUCAGCUAAGGGACCUGCUUCUCUGUAGCACAUGGGGCUUGUUUGUGUUGGGGUCUGAGCCCUGAGCUCAUGGUCAAGGAGAACCCCAGGUCCUUCUGAACAGAGACAGCUGGCCUCGGGGCCUCCCUCUCACUGCAUGCAAGAGCCUGUUAGGGCACAAGACUCAAGGCGCUGAGGGAGGCUGUUUCAGGAGGGAGCCGCAGAAGGAUGGUGGAGAGAGAAGGGGACAGCAUCCGCCGAGGGCCUACUGUGUGCCAGGCACUGUCCAGGGCUCCUGGCCCACAUGGGCUAAGUGAAUCUGGACACUCCUCCUGGGAGAAAGGCACAGAUGGAGAAAUUGCAGUUCAGGGAGGUGAAGCAAGCUGCUAGCCUGUGGCCACUUUGGGAUCUGAGCGCCAGCCUUCUAGCCACAAAGGCAGCAAAGGGUCAUGAAGAAGGCAUCACAGAGGCGAUUCCAGGCUGUAGUGGUGAACUCUCCACUCUGCACCCCCAGGUGCUGUGCCCUGUGCCCUGAUUAGAUAGUCCUGAAGGUUUCUACAUGUUUAAGAUAUCCCCAAUGUCAACGAUGCUCUCCUGUGGAUCCCAAGCUGUGGAGAUGUCCUGGGACUUUCCAUUUUAGGUUCCUAAAUUGAAUUUCCCAACACCUAGAAGCAACCCAGCUGCCCUGUAUCAGACCAAGGACCUUUAUUUGUGAUUCAGAAACAGUGGAAUAAAAGGAAAGGAAAGAAAACCCCAACAGCCACCUCAGGAGGAUGCCCCAAGGGUAGUGCUCUGGUGUCACUGACUCAGACAUGUGGGGGCUUCUGCCACCCACGCUCAAGAGCCACUUUGCCGUUUCACCGUCUCUGUGUCCUCCACAGCCCUCAGCAGCAUGCACGCCAAUAACAUGUUCACCACGAGGCUCAAAUCUCAGCAGAAGCUACAGAGUCCAACAUCCAGGUAAGGGAAAGUGCAGGGCUUCUCGGGUGAUGCUCUACUGAUUUUAUUUUAAUGAAUGAAAGACCAGAAGAAGUCAGUCUUUGAAGGGAGAGGAGAGGAGCAUCUGCUGGCAUUAGCAGCCAUGCCAUCGGUAGGACUGGCUCACCUGGUAACCUGUGGCCACCUGUGCUUUUACAUCUACUCUUGGUUAACCACGGGCCACUUUUCCAGCUUGGACUCUAAGCGUCUGUUCCACUUCCUCUCCUUCCUCAUUGAACUCUUUCACUAAAAGGAGAGUGCAAGAGAG
rnacentral:lncRNA from 10 species